AGCUCCAGUGAACCCUGAAGUAGUCUCAGGUAGAGGGGGUGGGUGGGGAGCUGUGCACUCUGCAGGAAGCGAGAGAGACGAGAGCUGAACAGUGUCGAGUGAAUGCAGAGUUCAUAGAAGGGCGACAGACAUAUUUUCGGAUUGACGGAUAGUUAACUGGAGUGAAAAGCUGUUGUACCCUACUGUGAGUAGGAGGAGACGAACGUCUUGCUGGCGUGUCAGAGAGGUCCCUUCUACUGGUGUGCUGAAGUUAUGUGUUCACGUGGGAGCACGUGGAGAGGACGACUGAGUGCUGCUGCCGCGGCCUGCUGGUAGCCUUGACCCAGUUUCCCCUGUUAUCCCCUUGAACUGCCUGGAGGUGUGAGUACUGUUUGCACGUGCUUUUUAUUUUACUGCUUGGCAACAAGUGAAGCGACCAUAUUGUUUUAGGUCCCAACGCACCCGAGCCACGACUCAGGCCUGCAACGAGGGGUUUGCUAGCAGAAAGACUGUAGCACUUGAGAUACGAGAACUGCAAGAGCUACAAGAGGCUGUGAACAAUGACAGUCCAGCUGCUGAACAUCAGGAGGUAUCAGCUGACUGAUAGUAUGUGGUACAACCUGUUAAUAGAGCCAAGUCAUUGAUAGCAAAAGUAAAGUGAGCAUAUUUUCCCAUAUUUGUAAUUAUAUGAGUAGAGAGCAUUUCAUCAUCAUUCAAUAUUACCACUAAUUAUGACAAAAAUGCAGUAAUGUACAAUAGCUUUGAGCUGAUGGACUGGUUCAUUGGUUAUUUGAAAGUUAAACCAAGCAUACUUUUUUUUUAAAGAAUGUAGAAGUGUUAGAUACUGUUUACUCGAAACACUUUCUAUACAAGUUCAUUCAUAAAUGUUUUAGACGACAUUAUCUUGACAACCUUUCACUGAAUUCAUUUGGAGGUGUUUUCACAGUGUGUGUUAGGUUUUUGUAAUGUUGAUUGUCAUUUAUGCUUAGGAAUAUUUAACCAUAUAUGCUUAGAGGUGUAUAAUCGAUUGUGUUUAGA